ensembl:lncRNA
GAGUGAGCCCCUGGACCAAAAACUGGGCUGAAGUUCAAUUCAAGGGCAGAUAGAAAGGGGGCACUCCUCCAUGGGAGAGGUGGCCUGAGGAUAGGAUUGCCAGAUUUACCAAAUAAACAGAACACCCCUUUAAAUUUGAAUUACAAAUUACUGUUUUUUUUUUUUUUUUAGUGGUAUCCAGGUGCACAGAUCCAGUGAAGGCUUUCAUUUCACUUUCUGGCAAUGAAUCCUCAGCAUGGAGCCAGAUUCUCCCAGUGGGCAAGUUCUACUGUGGGAAAGGGAGAGGUAACUCUGAAGUUGUAACUCCUUCAAGCAGCCAGGAUUCCCUUGAGGAAGAGAGAUCCUCAAGACAGGAACUCUGCUUCAUCCAAGGGCCUCAUUUCAGCAAUGUGGAUAUCUAUAUGGAUAAACUCACGAUUCAGCUCACCACUGAUCAACUGUGAAUUGCUGUUCCAUGUACAAAUCAGAUCAGAACCAACGGGCAAACCUGCCAUUGUUGUUGCUGUAUUGCCAGAAAUAAUAGCCAUGUGCCUGAUUGUGUCCUAACAAGCUGGCCUGAGGAUGGGGUGAAAACACUCUGUUCUCCAGGCUCAGACCUCUCAUUUGUAGGAUGAUUUUAAGUUGUGUUGCAUCAAGUCCUUGGUGAGGGCUAAGCAACCUGGCUCCUGAGCCUUUCCAGCCCAUGCCAACUAGAAUCGCUCCAUUCUUAAUGGUUUAAUACUUAGGGUUUUAUCUCAGACUGUGUUUGAAAGAAAGGUCCUACAAGGAAAAAGCAAGUUUGAAAAUGACUGAUCUGGGAUAUACUCUAAUUUCCCUAGCAAUACCUCUGCUGGAAAAGUGUCCACAUUUUAUCAGUGCCUCUCCAAAACUCUUCAUGUGGCACUCCAGGCCUUGCAAGCACUGGCACCAAGCCUCUCCCCUCGGGGUCCCCAAUACCCACCCCCAUGUGCCUCCUUCCAUUUAUAACAGAUCAUUCCCUAAAUAGCCCACAUUCCUUCUCUCCUCUACUUAUCAAUUUUGAAAAACUAUUCUCAUCUUUCCAAGCCCGAUUCAAAAUGUUCCUCCAUGGAGAAGUCCCCAGCUUCCCCCUCCUUCUCCAAGAAGUGGAAAUAUUGUUUGUUUGAAUCUAUGCUGUGAACACACUCUUCAUUGAUUAUUUGUCAAUGCAACUCCCACAUUCUACUUCAGGAGAGCAGAAAAUGGUCUGUGUCCUUCCCUAAAGCCAGUGGAGGACACUGCACACAGCAAUGCAUAAUGAACCUUCUUCUUGUCUGGGUUAUUAGUUUUCUCCAUCUUCUGAGCCAAACUCCUUCUCACCUUCAGGACCUGGAUGGAAAAUGGCUUCCUCCAGGAACCCUUCCCUGACUCUGUGUCC